UGGGAGGAGGUGAGAAGGUGUGCCCUGGGAAGCUGCAUGGCCUGAUUUGAGGUCUCAUGAAGGACAGCAAGGAGCAGCUCACCUCCAGCCAGGAGCGGAUGAGGAGCUGACAAAUGCCUGUGGCCAUGCUGGGAAAAGGCUCCCUGAGGAAAUACUGAUAAGCAGCAGGGAUGCUGCACUUCUGGGCAUCCCCGUGAUGGCCCAAAGCAGCUGUGUUGGGGAGGAAGGAGCCCAAUUCCACCCUGCAGCCCCAGGCCACCCGAGCUUAUAGGUGCUGCCUGACCGCGUGCAUGGGGCCAGACCUGCUGAUAGCAUCGGGGAGACCUGGCCACAAUGGGACAGGGCUGUGUGAGCCUCUUCCUCUGUGGGUAUCUUGAGUCACCCUAAUAGCUGAUCCUGGUGGGGCUUCCUGCUCCAUGGGAUGUUGGUGAUGGAGCUCAGCUAAGAGGUAAAAGCUUGGGAAAUCCGUGGGAGACAGAGCAGUGAAAUAUAGGGAUGAUGAUAAAAACUUUGCCAUCUGCUCCAGGACAAACCAACUGUGGGGAGCACUCAGAACAGUGCCAACACGAACUUGUUCCUGCAAUGUGUCCGCAGCCCUGCUGGUGCAGGGACCUGCUGGAGGUGGCACCUCAGCUGCUGGUCCCUAACAUGAGCUGCUGUGCACCUGGAGCCAUCCCUUUAUUUCAGAGGUGGACGGGAAGCUGUGUGUUGCUGGUAACAGCUCAGCCAUCCAAGGAGAGGCUGUCCAAGAGGUUUUUCCUGGGACAGCACAACCACAGUUGUCCCAUCUGCGUGCCAUAGCCCCAACCCAGGUAUCUGUGAUACCCAGCUGAUAACCCCCCCCCCUUUAAACCACGGACCCAGGCAGAUUUCCCUCGCGGGGUGAGCAGAUCCAGUUUCAUCGCUAAUGGGUUUCCCAGGAUUUGCAGAUGUGAAUUGCUCGCAUUCCUGACUCCAAGGUGAGUGCAGGUGCAUCGGAUGGUCCCUGUGAGUCCUCCCCACCUCCCGGGCGAGUGCACAGAGCUGCUAUUGUGCGGCAAGGAGCAUCGCUGCCUCUGUGCCCCUGGGGUGCUCGGGGUGCUGCUGCCUGGGUGGUGUGGUUGCCUGCUCAAGGUCCCUGCUCCUUCUCCUGCAGGGAAGAAGCAGCUUUUGCAAGUGAGAGUCAAACCCUGACUGCCCCUUGGGCUCUUGUUCAGGGGUCCAAGGAAAAGCAGCCGUGGUUUCAAACCGCCCUCCUCGAAAUCGCUCUGCUCAGACUGCAGGACUAUUUAACGCGCUUCAGCUUCUUAUAAAGUUU